UUCCGCCGCGGCGCGCUCCUGAUGAGUGCUGUGUCCAGGAUGAUCAUGAAUUCAAGCUCUGGAGCUUGAGAUGAACUGGUCCGACUUCUAGAAGAGAAGGUAGGCAUCUGUGUGUAGAGUCAAGGUUUUAGGUUACCUGUUCCCCUUCAUAUCGGGAACGGGUGAAUUCUGAGGCAUUCUCAUUGUAUAUAGAGAGCAUGAGAAUUUUGUGUCUGUAGAACGAAGUUCCAUUAUUUAGUUUUCUAUGCGUCAGCCCUACUCUGAAACAUGUCACAAUGUUAACAUAAAAGAUCUUUUGAAAAAAUUGGCUUUAUUUAU
rnacentral:lncRNA from 1 species